rnacentral:tRNA from 1 species
UUCCCUUAGCGUGCAAGGGAGCAACCGCCUCCUAAGCGGUAGGUCGCCGGUUCAACUCCGGCCAAGGACACAA